UGAUGCAGCCAAAGCAUGUCGUCGCCGACGAGCCCAUAUGAGAUAAGGCGAUUUCGCCGGCCAACUGAUCCACAUAAUAUAUUAAGUACUGAAUAUUCAUCAGUACUUAAUAAUUCUAUGUCCUCUUAAUUAAUUAUGAAUUAAUAAAAUUAUAUUUCAUAUUCAUAUGUUUUAUAUCAUCCUUUAUUUACUGAAUGAUUUAUUUUCCGCAUUUUUAUUUAGCUUAUAAUUACUUUUUUCUCUUCCAUGAGUACUGGUAAUAGAUUAGAAGACAUGAAACUAGAAAUUUUCAAUUUUGCA
rnacentral:lncRNA from 1 species